rnacentral:ncRNA from 2 species
AGACUUGCUCGCAAUUCUGGUGCUCGCGCGCGUUGGUCUUUCGCGCGCGGUUAAACGGGAAGCAGGAAGCGGCCGAUCCGCCACGGACGAACCGCCAACCUGCGCUGCCCCCGCAACGGUAAGCGAAAGCCGCGCGUCAUGCUUCAUGCGUAGAUCGCAUGAUUCACGCGCGGCAGAGCCGGCUUCGGUGCAUGUGCGAUGGUCGUGCACACGCAUUGCUCCACUGCGCAACGCAUCACGCGCGGGAAGGUGAAGCGGCGUUUUCGUCAGCCCGGAUACCGGCCAGAAAAUCGAACGGAUC